rnacentral:rRNA from 1 species
CCUACGGGUGGCAGCAGUCGAGAAUCUUUCACAAUGGGGGAAACCCUGAUGGUGCGACGCCGCGUGGGGGAAUGAAGGCCUUCGGAUUGUAAACCCCUGUCAUGUGGGAGCAAAUUAAAAAGAUAGUACCAUAAGCGGAAGAGACGGCUAACUCUGUGCCAGCAGCCGCGGUAAUACAGAGGGCUCAAGCGUUGUUCGGAAUCACUGGGCGUAGAGGGUGCGUAGGUGGGUACGUAAGUCGCGUGGGAAAGGCGCGGGCUGAAACCGCGGAGGGCAGUUGAUACUGUUAGAUUAGAGUAAGGGAGAGGGAGGCGGAAUGCUCGGUGUAGCGGUGAAAUGCGUAGAUAUCGAGAGGAACACUCGUGGCGAAGGCGGGUUACUGGAGAUUAACUGACGCUGAGGCACGAAGGCGAGGGGAGCGAAAGGGAUUAGAUACCCGAGUAGUC